AAAAAAUUCAUGUCACCAUAGCUAGGGUUCUUGAACUUCCUAAGCUCAAUUAUCAAGAAAGAAGAAAUAGUGGAAGUGAUCGGGGAAAAGAGAAAGUUAUCGACUAAAUUACAAAAAAUAGUCGUUUUGCAUCCGAGUGAUUUGAACUUGAUCGAAUAGUGGACCGUCGGAGCUCGUAUCACACUAUCAUAGCCAUCUCGGUAUUAUGUGCUUUUCAAAAUGUUUGAACUAUGGCAUGUAUAGAGUCUUAAUCAUUUUGAGCAUGUUCAAAUGAUAUGGCUAAGAUUAGCUAUUGAAAUGGUUAGUAAAGAUUAUGUUUUGGUAUUAUGUAUGUGUAAAUGGUAACUAAUUCAAAGAAGCAGUUUC